AUCACUUCUUGGCCUUUUGGCUAAGAUCAAGUGUAAAUCCUAUUCUCUUCAACAUAAAAGCACCAAUUGAAAUUUAUAGUACGUUGUAUUUUAUUCUUCAGUGUAUAUUGAGCUCAAACUCU
rnacentral:snRNA from 1 species